CAGAGGCAAGUGGAAUUCUGUGUGUAGGGGUAAAAUCCGUUGAUACACAGAGGAACACCAAAAGCGAAGGCAGCUUGCUGGGCAUUUUCUGACACUCAUGGACGAAAGCGUGGGUAGCAAACAGGAUUAGAUACCCUGGUAGUCCACGCCGUAAACUUUGGAUACUAGAUGUUGAGGGACUCGAUCCUUUCAGCGUCGAAGCUAACGCAUUAAGUAUCCCGCCUGGGAAGUACGGUCGCAAGACUAAAACUCAAAGGAAUAGACGGGGACCCACACAAGCGGUGGAGCACCUGGUUUAAUUCGAUAGUGAGCGAGGAACCUUACCUAGGCUUGACAUCCCGAGAAUCCGCUGGAAACAGUGGAGUGCCUUUUGGAACUCGGUGACAGGCGCUGCAUGGUUGUCGUCAGCUCGUGCCUUGAGGUGUUCGGUUAAGUCCGUAAACGAGCGCAACCCUUGUGCUAUGUUGUAUUUUUCAUAGCAGACUGCCGAUUCUAAAUCGGAGGAAGGUAAGGAUGACGUCAAAUCAGCACGGCCCUUAUGCCUAGGGCUACACAGGUGCUACAAUGGUCGGUACAGUGGGAAGCAAUGGAGCAAUCCUGAGCCAACCCCUAAAACCGAUCUCAGUUCGGAUUGAAGGCUGAAACUCGCCUUCAUGAAGUUGGAAUCGCUAGUAACCGCGUAUCAGCAAUGUCGCG
rnacentral:rRNA from 1 species